CAAUUCAUACAAGUUGCCAACUACCGAAACAAGAACAUACAAUCACCAGACUAUAACCCAGAAAAACUUAUUGGAUGACAAACCAAACCUUUGAAGAGAUAUAACAAAUUAGUAGCACUAAACAAAACAGACCCAAAACUCAUACAGACCAUGUAUAAUUAUGGACUAUUGCAUGCGGUAUAGACGCAAAAUGGAGAUAAUCUACAACAUAUCCCAGAACUAUAUCAAGUAGUAAAGAAAUACUUGGGAAUUACCAAAGCAGAUUUAAUAUUUAUUCGGCCAAAACUCAUACAGACCAUGUAUAAUUAUGGACUAUUGCAUGCGGUAUAUACGCAAAAUGGAGAUAAUCUGCAACAUAUCCCAGAACUAUAUCAAGUAGUAAAGAAAUAC
rnacentral:lncRNA from 1 species